GAUGAACGCUGGCGGCGUGCCUAAUACAUGCAAGUCGAGCGAACGGACGAGAAGCUUGCUUCUCUGAUGUUAGCGGCGGACGGGUGAGUAACACGUGGAUAACCUACCUAUAAGACUGGGAUAACUUCGGGAAACCGGAGCUAAUACCGGAUAAUAUUUUGAACCGCAUGGUUCAAAAGUGAAAGACGGUCUUGCUGUCACUUAUAGAUGGAUCCGCGCUGCAUUAGCUAGUUGGUAAGGUAACGGCUUACCAAGGCAACGAUGCAUAGCCGACCUGAGAGGGUGAUCGGCCACACUUGAACUGAAACACGGUCCAGACUCCUACGGGAGGCAGCAGUAGGGAAUCUUCCGCAAUGGGCGAAAGCCUGACGGAGCAACGCCGCGUGAGUGAUGAAGGUCUUCGGAUCGUAAAACUCUGUUAUUAGGGAAGAACAUAUGUGUAAGUAACUGUGCACAUCUUGACGGUACCUAAUCAGAAAGCCACGGCUAACUACGUG
rnacentral:rRNA from 1 species